CAAAAAAUAGUUUAAAAAAAAUUUUAAUUUUGGAGAUUAAAGAUAUAAAAUAUUUAUUUUUUUGA
rnacentral:tRNA from 2 species